AUUGAACGCUGGCGGCAUGCCUUACACAUGCAAGUCGAACGGCAGCACGGACUUCGGUCUGGUGGCGAGUGGCGAACGGGUGAGUAAUGUAUCGGAACGUACCUUUCAGUGGGGAUAACGUAGCGAAAGUUACGCUAAUACCGCAUAUUCUGUGAGCAGGAAAGCAGGGGAUCGCAAGACCUUGCGCUGAUUGAGCGGCAGAUAUCAGAUUAGCUAGUUGGUGAGGUAAAGGGUCACCAAGGCGACGAUCUGUAGCGGGUCUGAGAGGAUGAUCCGCCACACUGGAACUGAGACACGGUCCAGACUCCUACGGGAGGCAGCAGUGGGGAAUUUUGGACAAUGGGGGCAACCCUGAUCCAGCCAUGCCGCGUGAGUGAAGAAGGCCUUCGGGUUGUAAAGCUCUUUCGGCCGGGAAGAAAUCGCAUGGGUUAAUACCCUGUGUGGAUGACGGUACCGGAAUAAGAAGCACCGGCUAACUACGUGCCAGCCGCCGCCGUAAUAC
rnacentral:rRNA from 1 species